UGGGGAAUAUUGCACAAUGGGCGCAAGCCUGAUGCAGCCAUACCGCGUGUGUGAAGAAGGCCUUCGGGUUGUAAAGCACUUUCAGCCGUGAGGAAGGCAUUGUACCUAAUACGUGCAGUGUUUGACGUUAGCGGCAGAAGAAGCACCGGCUAACUCCGUGCCAGCAGCCGCGGUAAUACGGAGGGUGCGAGCGUCAAUCGGAAUUACUGGGCGUAAAGCGCAUGCAGGCGGUCUGUUAAGCAAGAUGUGAAAGCCCCGGGCUUAACCUGGGAAAGUCAUUUUGAACUGGCAGGCUAGAGUCUUGUAGAGGGGGGUAGAAUUUCAGGUGUAGCGGUGAAAUGCGUAGAGAUCUGAAGGAAUACCGGUGGCGAAGGCGGCCCCCUGGACAAAGACUGACGCUCAGAUGCGAAAGCGUGGGGAGCAAACAGG
rnacentral:rRNA from 1 species